UCCCUCUCUCCGCCAUUUCCUCUGAGGCCUCCAUCUCUCCCUCAACCGCGACAGCUUAAUUAGCUCUCUCCCCAACAAAUACGAUCAAAAGCAACUGCGAUCUCCUUCUGCGAUUCAACAGUUGGCGUUUUGUCAAAGUUUCCGUCGCCGAAUCUCUCCGUUGAAGAUAAGGUCAACAUCAUGAACGGAAACAAACGAAAAAGGGAUGGUGGUGUUGGUCCACAGAUAAAGACUCAAAUGCCCCGUACCAAUAAGUUGGUAGAUAUUAACCGAAAAUUAUCUGAUGCGCAAAGGAGUAGAAUUAUGAAAACUCCAUUCCGAUAUCUGGUGGAAAUGA
rnacentral:lncRNA from 1 species